AAACAACGCGGAGAGGCGCGUCGGAGAGAGAGACCCCCUCGCCAAGAGCGCGCGGGAGGCUUCCCUCCUUCGCGCGCACUGAGGGGGGAAAGCAGGCGAGGGCGGGCGGCGGCGGCGGCGGGCUGGAGGGCGGGCCGAGAGCCUCUCUCUCCUCCCCGGACUGGUUCCCUGCCCUGCAUUUAUUCUUCUUUCCCUCCUCCUCCUCCUCCUCCUCCUCCCAGUUUCCUGUCUGGCUUUGUGCUGGCGACGGAUAUGUGCGGCGCCCACAGGUGUGUCUCGUCCGCGCCGCUUUUGCCCGGCCAGGAGCGCGAGAGAGGCGGGCGCUGAGGCGCGUCAUGUGAUGCGCUCCGGCUCUCUGUGGCGGCGGAGGAGUAGUAGUAGUAGUGGUGCUUUCCCCCUCAGCUCCUUCUCCGCCUUUCCUCGGCUCGGGAAGCUGCUUGCCGCCGAAGCCGCCGAGGCUCUCGCGCUGAUUUGUGGAGGCUGCUGCUGAGGCGGCGCCUCCGCCCUCCUUGCUUUCCCCUCAGAAUAUGGGCAGCAGCCCGCCGGCCCCGCCGCUGGCUGCUGCGGGUCGUGCGCGCUGCCUCCGGGGGCUGCUGGGCUGAGGCGCGGCCACUUGGGGAGAGAGGGAGCGGCGGAGGCAGCAGCACAAAGGCGCCGCCGCCACCACCACCACAGACCAGCAGCGUCUUCUCCUUCGUCUGCCGCCUUCCAACUUGGAUCUGUCCAGAGCUACAGUUUUUGACUCCUGUGAGACCUGAAGGAAAAAAUGGUUACAUCAGUCUACCUUCCUUAUUUUUAGAGCAUUUUAUGGUAUUUGAAGAAAACCUGAGGUUGAGUCUCCUCCCAGUGCUAAAGUUCAGAGAUUGUCAUAUGACUCACUGCAGGUAA